rnacentral:rRNA from 1 species
GAUGAACGCUGGCGGCGUGCCUAAUGCAUGCAAGUCGAACGCACACCUUCGGGUGUGAGUGGCGGACGGCUGAGGAACACGUGGGUAACCUGCCCCGCAGUGGGGGAUAACACGUCGAAAGAUGUGCUAAUCCCGCAUACGAUCCUUCGGGAGGAAAGCAGCAAUGCGCUGUGGGAGGGGCCUGCGGCCCAUCAGGUAGUUGGUGUGGUAACGGCGCACCAAGCCAAUGACGGGUACCUGGUCUGAGAGGACGACCAGGCAGACUGGGACUGAGACACGGCCCAGACUCCUACGGGAGGCAGCAGCAAGGAAUUUUCGGCAAUGGGCGAGAGCCUGACCGAGCAACGCCGCGUGCAGGAUGACGGCCUUCGGGUUGUAAACUGCUUUUAGAUGGGACGAUAAUGACGGUACCAUCCGAAUAAGCCCCGGCUAACUCCGUG